rnacentral:rRNA from 1 species
GACGAACGCUGGCGGCGUGCUUAACACAUGCAAGUCGAACGGCAAGGCCCUUCUUUUGUGGUGUGCUCGAGUGGCGAACGGGUGAGUAACACGUGAGUAACCUUCCCUUGACUUUGGGAUAACUUCAGGAAACUGGGGCUAAUACCGGAUCGGAGCUCCUGCUGCAUGGUGGGGGUUGGAAAGUUUCGGCGGUUGGGGAUGGACUCGCGGCUUAUCAGCUUGUUGGUGGGGUAGUGGCUUACCAAGGCGUUGACGGGUAGCCGGCCUGAGAGGGUGACCGGGCACAGGGGGGGGGAGACGCGGACAAGGGGCCUGAGGGAGGCAGCAGUGGGGAAUGGGGGACAAUGGGGGAAAGCAUGAUAAAGGGGGGGGGCGUGUGUGAAGAAGGCCGUCGGGGUGGAAAGCAGGUUUGUGGGGAAAGAAAGCCUUGGGCCUGAGACGGACGGGGGGUGACGGUAACGGAAAAAUAAGCACCGGCUAACUACGUG